AUUGAACGCUGGCGGCAUGCCUUACACAUGCAAGUCGAACGGCAGCACGGGUGCUUGCACCUGGUGGCGAGUGGCGAACGGGUGAGUAAUACAUCGGAACGUACCUUAUCGUGGGGGAUAACGCAGCGAAAGCUGUGCUAAUACCGCAUACGCCCUGAGGGGGAAAGCGGGGGAUCGCAAGACCUCGCGCGAUUAGAGCGGCCGAUGCCGGAUUAGCUUGUUGGUGGGGUAAAAGCCCACCAAGGCGACGAUCAGUAGCUGGUCUGAGAGGACGAUCAGCCACACUGGGACUGAGACACGGCCCAGACUCCUACGGGAGGCAGCAGUGGGGAAUUUUGGACAAUGGGGGCAACCCUGAUCCAGCAAUGCCGCGUGAGUGAAGAAGGCCUUCGGGUUGUAAAGCUCCUUUGUCAGGGAAGAAACACCGGCUCUAACACAGUCCGGGAAUGACGGUACCUGAAGAAUAAGCACCGGCUAACUACGUGCCAGCAGCCGCGGUAA
rnacentral:rRNA from 1 species